rnacentral:rRNA from 1 species
GAUGAACGCUGGCGGCGUGCCUAAUACAUGCAAGUCGAGCGAACGGACGAGAAGCUUGCUUCUCUGAUGUUAGCGGCGGACGGGUGAGUAACACGUGGAUAACCUACCUAUAAGACUGGGAUAACUUCGGGAAACCGUAGCUAAUACCGGAUAAUAUUUUGAACCGCAUGGUUCAAAAGUGAAAGACGGUCUUGCUGUCACUUAUAGAUGGAUCCGCGCUGCAUUAGCUAGUUGGUAAGGUAACGGCUUACCAAGGCAACGAUGCAUAGCCGACCUGAGAGGGUGAUCGGCCACACUGGAACUGAGACACGGUCCAGACUCCUACGGAAGGCAGCAGUAGGGAAUCUUCCGCAAUGGGCGAAAGCCUGACGGAGCAACGCCGCGUGAGUGAUGAAGGUCUUCGGAUCGUAAAACUCUGUUAUUAGGGAAGAACAUAUGUGUAAGUAACUGUGCACAUCUUGACGGUACCUAAUCAGAAAGCCACGGCUAACUACGUGCCAGCAGCCGCGGUAAUACGUAGGUGGCAAGCGUUAUCCGGAAUUAUUGGGCGUAAAGCGCGCGUAGGCGGUUUUUUAAGUCUGAUGUGAAAGCCCACGGCUCAACCGUGGAGGGUCAUUAGAAACUGGAAAACUUGAGUGCAGAAGAGGAAAGUGGAAUUCCAUGUGUAGCGGUGAAAUGCGCAGAGAUAUGGAGGAACACCAGUGGCGAAGGCGACUUUCUGGUCUGUAACUGACGCUGAUGUGCGAAAGCGUGGGGAUCAAACAGGAUUAGAUACCCUGGUAGUCCACGCCGUAAACGAUGAGUGCUAAGUGUUAGGGGGUUUCCGCCCCUUAGUGCUGCAGCUAACGCAUUAAGCACUCCGCCUGGGGAGUACGACCGCAAGGUUGAAACUCAAAGGAAUUGACGGGGACCCGCACAAGCGGUGGAGCAUGUGGUUUAAUUCGAAGCAACGCGAAGAACCUUACCAAAUCUUGACAUCCUUUGACAACUCUAGAGAUAGAGCCUUCCCCUUCGGGGGACAAAGUGACAGGUGGUGCAUGGUUGUCGUCAGCUCGUGUCGUGAGAUGUUGGGUUAAGUCCCGCAACGAGCGCAACCCUUAAGCUUAGUUGCCAUCAUUAAGUUGGGCACUCUAAGUUGACUGCCGGUGACAAACCGGAGGAAGGUGGGGAUGACGUCAAAUCAUCAUGCCCCUUAUGAUUUGGGCUACACACGUGCUACAAUGGACAAUACAGAGGGCAGCGAAACCGCGAGGUCAAGCAAAUCCCAUAAAGUUGUUCUCAGUUCGGAUUGUAGUCUGCAACUCGACUACAUGAAGCUGGAAUCGCUAGUAAUCGUAGAUCAGCAUGCUACGGUGAAUACGUUCCCGGGUCU